UACGAAGGGGGCUAGCGUUGCUCGGAAUCACUGGGCGUAAAGCGCACGUAGGCGGACUCUUAAGUCGGUGGUGAAAUCCUGGAGCUCAACUCCAGAACUGCCUUCGAUACUGAGAGUCUCGAGUCCGGGAGAGGUGAGUGGAACUGCGAGUGUAGAGGUGAAAUUCGUAGAUAUUCGCAAGAACACCAGUGGCGAAGGCGGCUCACUGGCCCGGUACUGACGCUGAGGCACGAAGGUCAGGGGAGUAAACGGG
rnacentral:rRNA from 1 species